rnacentral:rRNA from 1 species
UGAACCUGCGGAGGGAUCAUUACUGAGUUUACGCUCUAUAACCCUUUGUGAACAUACCUAUAACUGUUGCUUCGGCGGGUAGGGUCUCCGUGACCCUCCCGGCCUCCCGCCCCCGGGCGGGUCGGCGCCCGCCGGAGGAUAACCAAACUCUGAUUUAACGACGUUUCUUCUGAGUGGUACAAGCAAAUAAUCAAAACUUUUAACAACGGAUCUCUUGGUUCUGGCAUCGAUGAAGAACGCAGCGAAAUGCGAUAAGUAAUGUGAAUUGCAGAAUUCAGUGAAUCAUCGAAUCUUUGAACGCACAUUGCGCCCGCCAGCAUUCUGGCGGGCAUGCCUGUUCGAGCGUCAUUUCAACCCUCAAGCUCUGCUUGGUGUUGGGGCCCUACAGCUGAUGUAGGCCCUCAAAGGUAGUGGCGGACCCUCCCGGAGCCUCCUUUGCGUAGUAACUUUACGUCUCGCACUGGGAUCCGGAGGGACUCUUGCCGUAAAACCCCCAAUUUUCCAAAGGUUGACCUCGGAUCAGGUAGGAAUACCCGCUGAACUUAAGCAUAUCAAUAAGCGGGAGGAA